ACCCAGCUGGCAAGUCCCACGUAGGACGAAACGCGUGUCUUGGAU
rnacentral:hammerhead_ribozyme from 1 species